UACGUAGGGUCCAAGCGUUAUCCGGAAUCACUGGGCGUAAAGCGUGCGCAGGUGGAUUGUUUAGUGCGUUGCGAAAUCCUGUGGCUCAACCAUAUGGACUGUAGCGCAUACUGGCAAUCUUGAGGACAUGAGAGGCAAGUGGAAUUACUGGUGUAGCAGUGAAAUGCGUAGAGAUCAGGAGGAACACCGAUGGCGAAGGCAGUUCUCUGGGCCGUAACUGACGCUGAGGAGCGAAAGCGUGGGGAGCGAACAGG
rnacentral:rRNA from 1 species